rnacentral:rRNA from 1 species
UACUGAGAAGCACUGGGUUUAAAGGGGGCGUAGGUGGUCCGUUAAGUCAGUUGGGAAAUCCCCGGGCUCAACCCGGGAACUGCUUCUGAUACUGGCGGACUUGAGGCCAGUAGGGGUCACUAGAACUGACGGUGGAGCGGUGAAAUGCGUAGAUAUCGUCAGGAAUGCCGGUGGUGAAGACGGGUGACUGGGCUGGUUCUGACACUGAGGCACGAAAGCGUGGGGAGCGAACGGG